rnacentral:rRNA from 1 species
AUGGCAGCGGCGGCCAUGGAGAGGUGGGCGGGGCUUGGAUCAGCGGUGGCGACCGUCAUAUUCCUCUGGUCCGUGGUGCAGAACUAUGUGCACCGGACCUUCCGCCUCUACCUCACAACCUGGGCCGCCAAACUUAUCGCCUCCUUCAACCCCUACCUCCAGAUCACCAUCUCGAAGUACGGCGCCGAGCGCUUCCAGCGCAGCGACUUCUUCCUCGCCGUCAAGGCCUACCUCACCGACGCCUGUGCUUGCCGCGCGCGCAAGCUCAAGGCCGAGCUCGGCAAGGACAUUAAGAACCUCCGGGUCUCCAUGGACGACCACGAGGAGGUCACAGACGACUUCUGCGGGACCACCAUCUGGUGGUACGCCUCCAAGAGGCAAUCCAAGGCCAACGUCAUCCAUUUAUACCCCGGCCAGGACGAGAGGCGCUUCUAUCGGGUCGUCUUCCAUCGACGGCACAGCGACCUUGUCGUUGACUCCUACCUUCCUUUCGUACUCGGUGGGGGUCGCGUUUUCACUGUGAAGAACCGCCAACGCGACCUCUUCACCAACAAUGCUAGCGGCAGCUGGAACCCAUACCAGGGCAAAAGCGUCUGGAGCCAUGUCCCCUUCGAGCAUCCUGCCACCUUUGACACGCUCGCCAUGCACCCCGAUGAGAAGGAAGCUGUCAUCGACGACCUCAUGGCCUUCCAGGAGAGCAAGGAAUACUAUGCCAAGGUCGGCAAGGCAUGGAAGCGCGGGUACCUCCUUUACGGACCGCCCAAGUCUACCUUGAUCGCCGCCAUGGCCAGCUUCCUCGACUAUGACGUCUACGACCUCGAGAUUACGGCGGUCAAGAAAAACACCGAGUUGUGGAAGUUCUUCAUCGAGACAACGGGCAAGUCCAUCAUCGUCAUAGAGGACAUCGACUGCUCCGUCGACUUCACAGGAAAACGCCGCAAGGACAAGAAGGCCUCAAGCGACAAGGACUCCGACAACGAUGACAAGCCCAAGCUACCGAUAGAGCCAGAGAAGGACGAUGCCACCAAGGUGACGCUCUCGGGCCUGCUUAACUUCAUCGAUGGGCUGUGGUCUGCUUGCGGAGGUGAGCGGAUCAUCAUCUUCACCACCAACCACAAGGAGAAGCUGGACCCGGCAUUGAUCCAGCGUGGCAGGAUGGACAAGCACAUCGAGAUGUCCUACUGCCGCUUUGAGGGCUUCAAGGUGCUCGCCAAGAACUACCUAGAUGUCAUCGAAAGUCCUCCCCCUCCCNNNNNNNNNNNNNNNNNNNNNNNNNNNNNNNNNNNNNNNNNNNNNNNNNNNNNNNNNNNNCCCUCCCCCUCUCCUCCUCCUCCUUCCUCGCCGCCGCCCAAGGGCGCGGCUAGGUGA